rnacentral:tRNA from 1 species
GGAGGGAUGGCCGAGCGGCUGAUGGCGCUAGUCUUGAAAACUAGUAUGCCCGCAAGGGUAUCGGAGGUUCAAAUCCUCCUCCCUCCG